GUGUGGAAAUUACUAAAAGGAGGAUAGACGGUGUAUUAUUAUACCGACUUGCGAGUGUGGUGGGGAGCUCUUCUUCGGCUGAACACUAUUGCGGUCUGCAUAAGAUAAGAUACAGAAUGGUGAGGGGAAAGGUACAUCUGAAAAAGAUAGAGAACCCUGUAAAUCGCAGGGUUACAUUCUCCAAACGGAAGGCGGGACUAUUGAAGAAGGCUAGCGAACUUUCUGUUCUCUGCGAAGCUGAAAUUGGCCUCAUCAUUUUCUCAUCCACGGGGAAGCUCUUCGAGUAUGCAAACCCCAGUUUAAGUGAUUGGAGUGAUUCUUUGAUAAAGUAUGAGCAGAAUAACUGGGAAGUAUCAAAAGCAUGGUGCUUCUUUGGGACACAACAAACUAUCAUCAGAACAUUUAGAGGUACUAGGUUUGGAAAUGGAGAACUUGGAGGAAAGGUUGACACAUUUAGAAAAAAUGUACAAGCAUAUGAAUGGUGAAGAUUUGGAUCUGUUAAAUUUUAAGGAGCUGAAAUGUAUUGAGAAGAAAAUGAGUUUGAGUGCUAGGAAGAUACACUCAAGAAAGGAUAAAAUUUCACUAGAAUAUAUCAGAUCUCUGAAAAUGAAGGUAU